AUUGAACGCUGGCGGCAGGCCUAACACAUGCAAGUCGAACGGUAGCACAGAGAGCUUGCUCUCGGGUGCCGAGUGGCGGACGGGUGAGUAACGUCUGGGAAACUGCCCGAUGGGGAGGAUAACUACUGGAAACGGUAGCUAAUAACGCAUAACGUCGCAAGACCAAAGUGGGGGACCUUCGGGCCUCACACCAUCGGAUGUGCCCAGAUGGGAUUAGCUAGUAGGUGGGGUAAUGGCUCACCUAGGCGACGAUCCCUAGCUGGUCUGAGAGGAUGGCCAGCCACACUGGAACUGAGACACGGUCCAGACUCCUACGGGAGGCAGCAGUGGGUAAUAUUGCACAAUGGGCGCAAGCCUGAUGCAGCCAUGCCGCGUGUAUGAAGAAGGCCUUCGGGUUGUAAAGUACUUUCAGCGGGGAGGAAGGCGGUGAAGUUAAUAACUUCGCCGAUUGACGUUACCCGCAGAAGAAGCACCGGCUAACUCCGUGCCAGCCGCCGCGGUAA
rnacentral:rRNA from 1 species